GAUGAAGAACGUAGCGAAAUGCGAUAAGUAAUGUGAAUUGCAGAAUUCAGUGAAUCAUCGAAUCUUUGAACGCACAUUGCGCCCGCCAGUAUUCUGGCGGGCAUGCCUGUUCGAGCGUCAUUUCAACCAUCAAGCCCUGCUUGCGUUGGGGUCCUGCGGCUGCCCGCAGGCCCUGAAAACCAGUGGCGGGCUCGCUAGUCACACCGAGCGCAGUAAUACAUCUCGCUUUGGGCGUGCGGCGGGUUCUUGCCGUUAAACACCCCCUUUUUACCAAGGUUGACCUCGGAUCAGGUAGGAAUACCCGCUGAACUUGAGCAUAUCAAUAAGCGGAGGA
rnacentral:misc_RNA from 1 species